UACAGGGGGGGCAAGCGUUGUCCGGAAUCAUUGGGCGUAAAGGGCGCGUAGGUGGCGGGACAAGCGUGCGGUGAAAGCUCGGGGCUCAACCCCGAGUCGGCCGUGCGAACUGUUUUGCUUGAGCACUGUAGAGGCAGGCGGAAUUCCGGGUGUAGCGGUGGAAUGCGUAGAGAUCCGGAAGAACACCGGUGGCGAAGGCGGCCUGCUGGGCAGUAGCUGACACUGAGGCGCGACAGCGUGGGGAGCAAACAGG
rnacentral:rRNA from 1 species